UGAGUAACGCGUGGGUAACCUGCCUCAUACACAUGGAUAACAUACCGAAAGGUAUGCUAAUACAAGAUGAUAUAAGAGAUUCGCAUGGAUUUCUUAUCAAAGCUCCGGCGGUAUGAGAUGGACCCGCGUCUGAUUAGCUAGUUGGUAAGGUAAUGGCUUACCAAGGCGACGAUCAGUAGCCGACCUGAGAGGGUGACCGGCCACAUUGGGACUGAGACACGGCCCAAACUCCUACGGGAGGCAGCAUG
rnacentral:rRNA from 1 species